rnacentral:rRNA from 1 species
UACGGAGGGUGCAAACGUUGCUCGGAAUCAUUGGGCGUAAAGCGUCUGUAGGUGGCUUUUUAAGUCCGCCGUCAAAUCCCAGGGCUCAACUCUGGACAGGCGGUGGAAACUACCAAGCUGGAGUACGGUAGGGGCAGAGGGAAUUUCCGGUGGAGCGGUGAAAUGCGUAGAGAUCGGAAAGAACUCCAACGGCGAAAGCACUCUGCUGGGCCGACACUGACACUGAGAGACGAAAGCUAGGGGAGCGAAUGGG